rnacentral:rRNA from 1 species
GACGAACGCUGGCGGCGUGCUUAACACGUGCAAGUCGAACGGAAAGGCCCUGCUUGCAGGGUACUCGAGUGGCGAACGGGUGAGUAACACGUGGGUGAUCUGCCCUGCACUUCGGGAUAAGCCUGGGAAACUGGGUCUAAUACCGGAUAGGAGCCAUUUUUAGUGUGAUGGUUGGAAAGUUUUUUCGGUGUAGGAUGAGCUCGCGGCCUAUCAGCUUGUUGGUGGGGUAAUGGUCUACCAAGGCGGCGACGGGUAGCCGGCCUGAGAGGGUGGACGGCCACAUUGGGACUGAGAUACGGCCCAGACUCCUACGGGAGGCAGCAGUGGGGAAUAUUGCACAAUGGGCGCAAGCCUGAUGCAGCGACGCCGCGUGGGGGAUGACGGCCUUCGGGUUGUAAACUCCUUUCGCUAGGGACGAAGCUUUUUGUGACGGUACCUAGAUAAGAAGCACCGGCUAACUACGUG